GACAGAGGUCCCAAGCGUUGUUCGGAUUCACUGGGCGUAAAGGGUGCGCAGGUGGUCGGGUAAGUCUGACGUGAAAUCCCGCAGCUUAACUGCGGAAUGGCAUUGGAUACUAUUCGGCUAGAGGGUUGGAGGGGGGACUGGAAUUCUCGGUGUAGCAGUGAAAUGCGCAGAUAUCAGGAGGAACACCGGUGGCGAAGGCGGAUCUCUGGGCCGAUACUGACGCUGAGGAGCGAAAGCGUGGGGAGCGAACAGG
rnacentral:rRNA from 1 species